AUCAUGGACAAUGAGGCAACUCUGAGUCCGUUGGUAAUAAAAUAUAGCUUAUAAGGUAAGAACAGGAGUGCAGUUUUUCAUCCGCUCCAGCAGGCCGCGUCAUCGAGCUUUAGUUUAGUUACGUUACAGCUUCGGAUGCUUGACAACAACUCUUGAUAACAGUCGAAACAACACGUACUACAGACAAGUAUAACUUAUGCAUAUGGAAGCUCGGUUAAAAACUUCCAUAACCACUUAACAGCACACAUUUCAGACCAUAAACAAACCAAACUGACAAACGCUGUGAUAAAGCGCAGGAAUAGAAGGUGUCACGCGACUCGCCUAAUAUAAAGAAGAGUUACACUCAACAGAAGCACGUGGACACACAUUAAUGAUGGACAUCUGCUUAUGCACAGAAUAAGAGGUGUCUUGUUGGUUGUAAACUCGUCAAUCUGAAGCAGAGCUCUGGGACGUGUGGACAGAC